rnacentral:rRNA from 1 species
UAACACAUGCAAGUCGAGCGGUAAGGCCCUUUCGGGGGUACACGAGCGGCGAACGGGUGAGUAUCACGUGGGUGACCUGCCCUCAGCUCUGGGAUAAGCCUGGGAAACCGGGUCUAAUACUGGAUAUGACUCCAUGACGCAUGUUGUGGGGUGGAAAGCCUUGUGCGGCUGAGGAUGGGCCCGCGGCCUAUCAGCUUGUUGGUGGGGUGAUGGCCUACCAAGGCGACGACGGGUAGCCGGCCUGAGAGGGCGACCGGCCACACUGGGACUGAGACACGGCCCAGACUCCUACGGGAGGCAGCAGUGGGGAAUAUUGGACAAUGGGCGCAAGCCUGAUCCAGCGAUGCCGCGUGUGUGAAGAAGGCCUGCGGGUUGUAAAGCACUUUCAGUAGGGAAGAAAAGCCGAGUGCUAAUAUCACUCGGUCUUGACGUUACUUACAGAAGAAGCACCGGCUAACUCCGUGCCAGCAGCCGCGGUAAUACGGAGGGUGCGAGCGUUAAUCGGAAUUACUGGGCGUAAAGGGCGCGUAGGCGGUUUGGUAAGUCGGGUGUGAAAGCCCCGGGCUCAACCUGGGAAUUGCAUUCGAUACUGCCUGGCUAGAGUAUGGUAGAGGGAAGCGGAAUUCCGGGUGUAGCGGUGAAAUGCGUAGAUAUCCGGAGGAACACCAGUGGCGAAGGCGGCUUCCUGGACCAAUACUGACGCUGAGGCGCGAAAGCGUGGGGAUCAAACAGGAUUAGAUACCCUGGUAGUCCACGCCCUAAACGAUGAGAACUAGCCGUUGGAGGAGCUUUGUCCUUUAGUGGCGCAGCUAACGCGAUAAGUUCUCCGCCUGGGGAGUACGGCCGCAAGGUUAAAACUCAAAGGAAUUGACGGGGGCCCGCACAAGCGGUGGAGCAUGUGGUUUAAUUCGAUGCAACGCGAAGAACCUUACCUGCCCAUGACAUCCUCGGAACUUUCCAGAGAUGGAUUGGUGCCUUCGGGAACCGAGAGACAGGUGCUGCAUGGCUGUCGUCAGCUCGUGUUGUGAGAUGUUGGGUUAAGUCCCGUAACGAGCGCAACCCUUGUCCUUAGUUGCCAGCGGGUAAUGCCGGGAACUCUAAGGAGACUGCCGGUGACAAACCGGAGGAAGGUGGGGAUGACGUCAAGUCAUCAUGGCCCUUAUGGGCAGGGCUACACACGUGCUACAAUGGCCGGUACAAAGGGUUGCCAACCCGCGAGGGGGAGCUAAUCCCGAAAAACCGGUCGUAGUCCGGAUCGGAGUCCGCAACUCGACUCCGUGAAGUUGGAAUCGCUAGUAAUCGCGAAUCAGCACGUCGCGGUGAAUACGUUCCCGGGCCUUGUACACACCGCCCGUCACACCAUGGGAGUGGGCUGUACCAGAAGUAGGUAGCCUAACCUUCGGGAGGGCGCUACCACGGUA